rnacentral:rRNA from 1 species
AGCGUACACGGUGGAUGCCCUGGCAGUCAGAGGCGAUGAAGGACGUGCUAAUCUGCGAUAAGCGUCGGUAAGGUGAUAUGAACCGUUAUAACCGGCGAUUUCCGAAUGGGGAAACCCAGUGUGUUUCGACACACUAUCAUUAACUGAAUCCAUAGGUUAAUGAGGCGAACCGGGGGAACUGAAACAUCUAAGUACCCCGAGGAAAAGAAAUCAACCGAGAUUCCCCCAGUAGCGGCGAGCGAACGGGGAGCAGCCCAGAGCCUGAAUCAGUGUGUGUGUUAGUGGAAGCGUCUGGAAAGGCGCGCGAUACAGGGUGACAGCCCCGUACACAAAAAUGCACAUGCUGUGAGCUCGAUGAGUAGGGCGGGACACGUGGUAUCCUGUCUGAAUAUGGGGGGACCAUCCUCCAAGGCUAAAUACUCCUGACUGACCGAUAGUGAACCAGUACCGUGAGGGAAAGGCGAAAAGAACCCCGGCGAGGGGAGUGAAAAAGAACCUGAAACCGUGUACGUACAAGCAGUGGGAGCACGCUUAGGCGUGUGACUGCGUACCUUUUGUAUAAUGGGUCAGCGACUUAUAUUCUGUAGCAAGGUUAACCGAAUAGGGGAGCCGAAGGGAAACCGAGUCUUAACUGGGCGUUAAGUUGCAGGGUAUAGACCCGAAACCCGGUGAUCUAGCCAUGGGCAGGUUGAAGGUUGGGUAACACUAACUGGAGGACCGAACCGACUAAUGUUGAAAAAUUAGCGGAUGACUUGUGGCUGGGGGUGAAAGGCCAAUCAAACCGGGAGAUAGCUGGUUCUCCCCGAAAGCUAUUUAGGUAGCGCCUCGUGAAUUCAUCUCCGGGGGUAGAGCACUGUUUCGGCAAGGGGGUCAUCCCGACUUACCAACCCGAUGCAAACUGCGAAUACCGGAGAAUGUUAUCACGGGAGACACACGGCGGGUGCUAACGUCCGUCGUGAAGAGGGAAACAACCCAGACCGCCAGCUAAGGUCCCAAAGUCAUGGUUAAGUGGGAAACGAUGUGGGAAGGCCCAGACAGCCAGGAUGUUGGCUUAGAAGCAGCCAUCAUUUAAAGAAAGCGUAAUAGCUCACUGGUCGAGUCGGCCUGCGCGGAAGAUGUAACGGGGCUAAACCAUGCACCGAAGCUGCGGCAGCGACGCUGAUGCGUUGUUGGGUAGGGGAGCGUUCUGUAAGCCUGUGAAGGUGUGCUGUGAGGCAUGCUGGAGGUAUCAGAAGUGCGAAUGCUGACAUAAGUAACGAUAAAGCGGGUGAAAAGCCCGCUCGCCGGAAGACCAAGGGUUCCUGUCCAACGUUAAUCGGGGCAGGGUGAGUCGACCCCUAAGGCGAGGCCGAAAGGCGUAGUCGAUGGGAAACAGGUUAAUAUUCCUGUACUUGGUGUUACUGCGAAGGGGGGACGGAGAAGGCUAUGUUGGCCGGGCGACGGUUGUCCCGGUUUAAGCGUGUAGGCUGGUUUUCCAGGCAAAUCCGGAAAAUCAAGGCUGAGGCGUGAUGACGAGGCACUACGGUGCUGAAGCAACAAAUGCCCUGCUUCCAGGAAAAGCCUCUAAGCAUCAGGUAACAUCAAAUCGUACCCCAAACCGACACAGGUGGUCAGGUAGAGAAUACCAAGGCGCUUGAGAGAACUCGGGUGAAGGAACUAGGCAAAAUGGUGCCGUAACUUCGGGAGAAGGCACGCUGAUAUGUAGGUGAAGUCCCUCGCGGAUGGAGCUGAAAUCAGUCGAAGAUACCAGCUGGCUGCAACUGUUUAUUAAAAACACAGCACUGUGCAAACACGAAAGUGGACGUAUACGGUGUGACGCCUGCCCGGUGCCGGAAGGUUAAUUGAUGGGGUUAGCGCAAGCGAAGCUCUUGAUCGAAGCCCCGGUAAACGGCGGCCGUAACUAUAACGGUCCUAAGGUAGCGAAAUUCCUUGUCGGGUAAGUUCCGACCUGCACGAAUGGCGUAAUGAUGGCCAGGCUGUCUCCACCCGAGACUCAGUGAAAUUGAACUCGCUGUGAAGAUGCAGUGUACCCGCGGCAAGACGGAAAGACCCCGUGAACCUUUACUAUAGCUUGACACUGAACAUUGAGCCUUGAUGUGUAGGAUAGGUGGGAGGCUUAGAAGUGUGGACGCCAGUCUGCAUGGAGCCGACCUUGAAAUACCACCCUUUAAUGUUUGAUGUUCUAACGUUGACCCGUAAUCCGGGUUGCGGACAGUGUCUGGUGGGUAGUUUGACUGGGGCGGUCUCCUCCUAAAGAGUAACGGAGGAGCACGAAGGUUGGCUAAUCCUGGUCGGACAUCAGGAGGUUAGUGCAAUGGCAUAAGCCAGCUUGACUGCGAGCGUGACGGCGCGAGCAGGUGCGAAAGCAGGUCAUAGUGAUCCGGUGGUUCUGAAUGGAAGGGCCAUCGCUCAACGGAUAAAAGGUACUCCGGGGAUAACAGGCUGAUACCGCCCAAGAGUUCAUAUCGACGGCGGUGUUUGGCACCUCGAUGUCGGCUCAUCACAUCCUGGGGCUGAAGUAGGUCCCAAGGGUAUGGCUGUUCGCCAUUUAAAGUGGUACGCGAGCUGGGUUUAGAACGUCGUGAGACAGUUCGGUCCCUAUCUGCCGUGGGCGCUGGAGAACUGAGGGGGGCUGCUCCUAGUACGAGAGGACCGGAGUGGACGCAUCACUGGUGUUCGGGUUGUCAUGCCAAUGGCACUGCCCGGUAGCUAAAUGCGGAAGAGAUAAGUGCUGAAAGCAUCUAAGCACGAAACUUGCCCCGAGAUGAGUUCU